rnacentral:rRNA from 1 species
AUUGAACGCUGGCGGCAGGCCUAACACAUGCAAGUCGAGCGGAUGAAGGGAGCUUGCUCCUGGAUUCAGCGGCGGACGGGUGAGUAAUGCCUAGGAAUCUGCCUGGUAGUGGGGGAUAACGUCCGGAAACGGGCGCUAAUACCGCAUACGUCCUGAGGGAGAAAGUGGGGGAUCUUCGGACCUCACGCUAUCAGGUGAGCCUAGGUCGGAUUAGCUAGUUGGUGGGGUAAAGACCUACCAAGGCGACGAUCCGUAACUGGUCUGAGAGGAUGAUCAGUCACACUGGAACUGAGACACGGUCCAGACUCCUACGGGAGGCAGCAGUGGGGAAUAUUGGACAAUGGGCGAAAGCCUGAUCCAGCCAUGCCGCGUGUGUGAAGAAGGUCUUCGGAUUGUAAAGCACUUUAAGUUGGGAGGAAGGGCAGUAAGUUAAUACCUUGCGGUUUUGACGUUACCAACAGAAUAAGCACCGGCUAACUUCGUG